rnacentral:rRNA from 1 species
GACGAGCCACCCAAACGUUAUUCGGAAUUACUGGGCUUAAAGGGUGCGUAGGCGGUGCAGCAAGUCGGGAGUGAAAUACCUCAGCUUAACUGAGGAACUGCUCUCGAUACUGCUGUGCUUGAGUGAGACAGAGGUAAGCGGAACUUAGGGUGGAGCGGUGAAAUGCGUUGAUAUCCUAAGGAACACCGGUGGCGAAGGCGGCUUACUGGGUCUCUACUGACGCUGAGGCACGAAAGCGUGGGGAGCAAACAGG